rnacentral:rRNA from 1 species
GACGUAGGGCGCGAGCGUUGUCCGGAUUUAUUGGGCGUAAAGAGCUCGUAGGCGGCUUGUCGCGUCGACUGUGAAAACCCGCGGCUCAACCGUGUGGCGGGCAGUUGAUACGGGCAGGCUAGAGUCCGGAAGAGGAGAGUGGAAUUCCUGGUGUAGCGGUGGAAUGCGCAGAUAUCAGGAGGAACACCGAUGGCGAAGGCAGCUCGCUGGGACGGUACUGACGCUGAGGCGCGAAAGCGUGGGGAGCGAACAGG